ACAGAAUCAUUAUGUUUGGGAAGUAUUGUGGACCAUGACCAAAUGUUCUGGUAUUAUUCCUCAAAUGAAAAUCAGCUGUGUGCCUGCCUGUGAUCACUCGGCGGCGUGCGCGCGAGCUCCCAGCCUGCGCAACAACAGACCCAGGAAGGAAGGUAGCCGCGCGGGCGCCCGUGAAACACCCACACGACGACCCCCCUGUUCUCAAAACUCCUGAUCGGGCCAGUCCUUAGACCAACUCUGCAGAGGCAUAGGUUCCCAUGAAGGGUAGUUUUCUGAGCUCCGAACUUUGAACAUCUUUAAAGAAAGGGCAGGGGAAACCUGUAAUAGAACGGAGUGGAGUUCAACCCUGAGGGUAAGGAAACUAAAGUUAGGCCUUGUAGAUUGUGUUCAGUCUCAGUCGUGAGGAACAGCCAUUGGCUAGCUAAGACCAGGGGAUUGGGUUCCGCAUAUGACUGUGCAUGUGGUAUAAUAUGAGAUCAGAGAUAGCCUGAAAGAGGACCUUCAAAUUCUUUUUCUUUCCCUCUCUCUUUUCUCUUUUUUCCUCUUUCCACCCU
rnacentral:lncRNA from 1 species